GUAGGUGGCAAGCGUUGUCCGGAAUUAUUGGGCGUAAAGCGCGCGCAGGUGGUUCUUUAAGUCUGAUGUGAAAGACCCCCGGGCUCAACCGGGGAGGGUCAUUGGAAACUGGGGAACUUGAGUGCAGGAGAGGAAAGUGGAAUUCCACGUGUAGCGGUGAAAUGCGUAGAUAUGUGGAGGAACACCAGUGGCGAAGGCGACUUUCUGGCCUGUAACUGACACUGAGGCGCGAAAGCGUGGGGAGCAAACAGGAUUAGAUACCCUGGUAGUCCACGCCGUAAACGAUGAGUGCUAAGUGUUGGGGGGUUUCCGCCCCUCAGUGCUGCAGCUAACGCAUUAAGCACUCCGCCUGGGGAGUACGGCCGCAAAGACUG
rnacentral:rRNA from 1 species